GAGCAAUUGGACAAAAACUAACAAGCUAAAAAGGGAAGUAGCAAUACUCCUCAUAUAUAAAUCAUACACCACAAUUGCAUGUCAUCAAAACUCGCAAGCCAGGUCUACUGUCGGGAUUAUUAUAAUAACAUCUCUCUACAAGUCUUGUUUAGACAUUCCUCAAUUAUAAGGAAAAACCUUUUAAGGAAAUUAAACAUCAUGAAGAUUUCAUAACAGGUUCUACCUAUGUACCUCCCCGUUAUUAAAUGCUUUCCAUCCCCACCUCAU
rnacentral:misc_RNA from 1 species